rnacentral:rRNA from 1 species
GCCUAAUACAUGCAAGUCGAGCGCCUCUACUAAGGUUACGAAUUAAUUCGUAGGUUUGGUUGAGGAGCGGCGGACGGCAGAGUAACGCGUACGAACGUACCCCAAACUGAGGGAUAAGCACCGGAAACGGUGUCUAAUACCGCAUAAUACCUCCGGGUUAAAGCUACGGCGGUUUGGGAGCGGCGUGCGUCUGAUUAGCUAGUUGGUGAGGUAAAGGCUCACCAAGGCGACGAUCGGUAGCUGGUCUGAGAGGAUGACCAGCCUGACUGGAACCGAGAACGGUCCAGACUCCUACGGGAGGCAGCAGUAGGGAAUUUUCCACAAUGGGGGCAACCCUGAUGGAGCAACGCCGCGUGCAGGAGGAAGGCCCUCGGGUCGUAAACUGCUUUUAUCUGUGACGAUUUUGACGGUAGCAGAUGAAUAAGGAUUGGCUAAUUCCGUGCCAGCAGCCGCGGUCAUACGGAAGAUCCAAGCGUUAUCCGGAAUUACUGGGCGUAAAGAGUUGCGUAGGUGGCAUAGCAAGCAGGUAGUGAAAUUACACGGCUCAACCGUGUGCACAUUAUCUGAACUGUUAAGCUAGAGCAUGAGAGAGGUAGAUGGAAUUUCUAGUGUAGGAGUGA